rnacentral:rRNA from 1 species
UGAGUAACCUGCCCUGGACUUUGGGAUAACCCUCGGAAACGGGGGCUAAUACCGGAUAUGACGCACUCUCGCAUGGGAUGUGUGUGGAAAGUUUUUCGGUCUGGGAUGGGCUCGCGGCCUAUCAGCUUGUUGGUGGGGUGAUGGCCUACCAAGGCGACGACGGGUAGCCGGCCUGAGAGGGCGACCAGCCACACUGGGACUGAGACACGGCCCAGACUCCGUACGGGAGGCA